rnacentral:rRNA from 1 species
GAUGAACGCUGGCAGUGUGCCUAAGACAUGCAAGUCGAACGAGGUCUUCGGACCUAGUGGCGAACGGGUGAGUAACACGUGGGCGACCUACCCCCAAGUACGGCAUAACCCCGGGAAACCGGAGCUAAUUCCGUAUGUGCCCGUAUCUCAUUUGAUACGCGUAAAGAUUUAUCGCUUGGGGAUGGGCCCGGGGCCCACCAGCUAGUUGGUAGGGUAACGGCCAACCAAGGAGACGACGCGUAGCCGACCUGAGAGGGUGACCGGCCACAGGGGCACUGAGAAACGGGCCCCACUCCUACGGGAGGCAGCAGUUAGGACUCUUGCGCAAUGGGCGAAAGCCUGACGCAGCGACGCCGCGUGAGGGAGGAAGGCCUUCGGGUUGUAAACCUCUUUCAGGAGGGACGAAGCUACUCGGGUGAACAGCCCAGAGGGUGACGGUACCUCCAGAAGAAGCCCCGGCUAACUA